CUGGGUAUGGUGGAGCGCGCCUGUAAUCCAAUUCCAGCUACUCAGGAGGCUGAGGCUGUAGAAUCGCUUGAACCUGGGAGGCAGAGUUUGCAGUGAGCCAAGAUUGCGCCAUUGCAAUCCAGCUUGGGUUACAGAGGGAGACUGUCUCAAAAAAAAAAAAAAAAAAACUGCCAGGUGAAGUGUGUGUAAUCUAUCUUUCCUUCCUUCUUUCUUUCUUUCCUCCCUUUCUCCUUUUUAAAAUUAGUGUGUUUUAUGUCUUAGAGCAGUUUUAGCUUAACGGAAAAAUGAAGCAGAAAGUACAGAGGGCUCUCAUAUACAUCCCCCUCCGACAUAUUUUCACUUCUUAUUAACAUUUUGGAUUAGUGUGAUACAUUUGUAGUUACAAUAGAUUAAUGGAUAUUGACACUUUAUUAACUAAAGUCCACAGUUUACAUUAGGGUUCACUCUUUGUAUUACAGCUCUGUGGGUUUUGACUAUGUGUAAUGUCAUGUAUUCACCAUUAUAGUAUUAUACAGAAUAGUUCCUCUGCCCAAAAAAUCCCCUGUGCCUCACCUAUUCAUCCCUCCCUCAAAUGUAUAUAAUUUUUAAGGCUUUUGAGGACUAUAGUCAAAUUGCUUUACAAAAUGUUUGUAUCCAAACGCCAGCAGUGCGUGAGAGUCUGUUUCAGCAUAUCAUCAAUAACACUGGGUAUUACUAUUUUUAAUGUUAGGAAAAUUGAUAUCUCAUUUAUAUUAGGACAAAUACAAGUAAGAUAUAAUUGUUUUGGAACUCUGUACAAUGAGCUGAUGACAUUGUUACAAUGAGAGACACUUGUUAGAGACCAGCUUAAGCAAAUAAUGAGAUUUAUUGCCUCAUGCAUCUGGGUGCUGGCCUCAGGGUUGAUUGAUUCAAGAACUCAAAUGAUGUCACAGAAAGUGCUAUCCCUCAUUCCUCUUCUAUUGCAGACACUUUUUUCUAAGGAGGGAGGCAUGGUUGCAAGGAGGUCUAGGCUUAUAUCAUCUUAGCUAAGGAGGUCUAGAGGAACGAGACAUCUUUGUUGUCUCUGAUUUAAUCCUACAUUAAUCAGAGCUCAUUUAAGUGCCAUGAUAGAAACCCAAUUUAAGCUGGCUUAAGCCAAAAAAAAAAAAAAAAAAAAAAAAAAAAAAAAAAAAGAAUAUAUUGGCUCAUGCAACUGAGAAGUCUAGUUGAGAGUUCUUCUUUCAGGAACAGGGGCUCAAACAAUAUCAUCAGGACUUGCUUUUUAUCUUUUGCCCUGCUCUCCUCUUUGUUGGCUUCAUUCUGAGGCAGGCUUUCUCUCUUGCCUGUUGGCAAAAUGAUUCCUGAUAGCUCCAGGGUUAAAUGAUUCAGCAGUCUCAUGGGUCUCAAAGGGAAUACCUCAUUUCUAAUGGGUCCCACAAAGGUUCUGAGGAAGGAAGACUUUGGUUGGCCUGGUUUCCAAAUUGUGUCCAUCCCUACCUCUCAUUGUAGCAGAGGUAUAAAAAAAUCUGAUGAGUUAGGAUUGGGUUAUAUGCCACCCCUGCACAAGGGUAAGGGAAGGCAUUAGCUCCCCUAAAAUCACAAGGACUAAUAGGGGAGAAAGAGGGUUUGUAAAAGACAAAAAAAGAGUGGAUACUGUGCCAGCAAAAGAAAAAAUUUAUAUUACAAGUAUCAUCAGCUCUCCCACAACCACAUGUUGGAGUGUGUGAGAAAGAAGUUUUCUAUCAAAAGUUGGGGAGAAGGAAUAAUGCAUAGAUAAAAGCAACACAUGUCCACCACAUCAUUGUUUUAUUUCACAUUCAUUCAUAAACAUUAUUUCAGAUAUCUGUUGAUCAUUUGCAUUUGGGUUUUUAUGAGUUAUCUGUCCAUUUUGCUGUUAGGACAGUGCUUUUAAGGUGUUCCUAACAUCUUAACCUUGGUCUUAAUUCCUUUCAGUUUUGCAUGCUGGAAAUGUUUUUUUUCCAGUUUGUCAUUUGCUUCCUAACUUUGUUAUUUACAUUUUUAUUCAAGAUUACUGUUUUAAAUUACACAUAGAUCCAUGCAAUGGGUAUUAUGCUUUUACUCAUCCUCAUUCUAAACACUAAAUAGUUGUAUGGCUUAGUUAUUACUCUGAUUUAACUUCUGUGGCCCAGUUUUCUCAUCUGUAAAAUGGGCCAUUGAUUUUCUUCCUAUUCUUCUAACAUGUUUAUGACUAUGAAAUAUGAUUUAUUUAUUUGAAAAUAUAGAGCUCAAGAAAGUGAAUAGGAAAUAUUAGAGAAUAGUGUUCUGAGCAUUAAAUAUCAGAGGAUCUUUAAUGGUAUCCCACAGGGAGUACUAUGAGUGAUUCAUAUGCAGCUUGAUGUUGCUCUGUAGCCAAAUAGAGCAGAAUAAGCCCCUCCCCUUCCCCACCCUUUGCCCUAGCCGGCCAGGUCAUGCAGCAGGCAGAGGAAAUGCCUGCAGCUACACUGAAUACAGAUGCCAGUCAGAUCCUGCAGGUUAGAGAGAGUGCUGCAAGGCUAAGCUAAACAGACCAAAGCCAGCCCCAGGUUGAACAAGAAAGCAGGCAGCCAGUAUUUUCCUGAGUGUAACUGUGGGUACUGCCUCUAUUGGCGGUAGAGACUUGGUACUUAAAAUGAACUUCGAGCUGUUCCAAAUGUACAGAUUAAGAACAUCUGGCAUGUAGAAUUAGGAUUCUGAUGGGAGAUAUAUACUGAUGCUGCCUGGUGUGGGACAAGAGUACAUUGAUGCAUGGAUGAUGAUCAGUAGUCUUGGAGAACAGAAUCAAGAUAGGAUGAGAAAAGAAAGUAUUCUUUGAUUAUAAUGACUAAGUGUUCAUAAAUUCCUUCAUGAGGAAGAAGUGGAAAUUAUCAGAGCCUCCCACUAUGUACCUUUGGUAUUAUAGUGUAUUAUAUAUUUAUUUUAAAAUUGGUGUGUAGUAAAAUGGAUAACCAUAAAAGGGCAAGCUUAGUCAUGUAGCUCAAGUCCUUUUGUCACCUUUGUAAAGAACUUUUCCAGGUUUUGUUAAGUAGACAUUUUUGAUGUAGUUAGAUUUUACCAAACUGCUAGAUACAGAACUCUGGAGCCUGAGUGAUACACCAAAUAAACAGUCACCUUACAGGCUACUGUUUUAGUCUUAUGUUAGUCUGAGUAUUCUACACUUGACAAAAAUCACUUUGACAAUGAGAAAGUAUUACAUAAAAGUCAUUUAUCACAAUCCCUCAGAUCAGCAAUCCUCAACCCUGGCUAAACAGUAGAACUACCUGAGAAGCUUUUUAACAACUGCUGAUGGCUGGCCCAGCACCAUAUUAAUUACAUUAAAAUUUCUGGAGAUGGGAAGAACACUCCCCAAGUUCCCCAAGUGAACAUAAUGUGCAACUAGACAAAAAAGGCUGAUAGGGGAUUGCACAAAAAGUGGGGUCUAGUCAGGUCUUAGAGGAUAACUGUGUCCACAGUGUAACACUGUGUUACAAGCUGAGGCAUGGGGUAUAAUUCAGGUAUUCCCUUCGAAGCCUACACAAUUGUUAGCAAACUAUCUAGUGGUCUCUGGAAGAUAUUUUUGGGGAAAUAUUCAGAUGUUUUUUGAAUACUAUUUUGUUGAAAACAAUUCAGGAAAUUUCCCCCCAGGAAAACUUCUGAUUUGCAGCAUGCAACAUAGAGCCUGAGCACUCUUCCCCGGCUUCCCACUGUACUUGGAACAGGAACCAGACUCCACCGUGGCUUCCACAGCCUGGCAUGACCUUUCUCCUUGCCUUGACUGAAAGCUGUAUUUAAUGCCACCAUCUCAUAUUUUAUAAUGCAGCAGCCACACUGGGCUUCUUUCAGUUUCUCCUACUUGGGAAACUCGAGCUUUCUACAUGCUAUUCCCUCUGCGUGGAUUAAGUUCUCCCACCUUUCUUCUUGGUUUCUUCUUAUCCAUUCUUCAGCGAUCACUUCCCCAGAGACCUUCCCAGACAACCUCUCUAAGCCCUAAUCUACCCCCAUCUCUAAAUUUUUUAAAUUUAUUUAUUUAUUUAUUUUUGAGGCAGGGUCUCGUUUUAUUGCCCAGGCUAGAGUACAGUGGCAUGAUCAUGGCUUACCUCCCUAGCUCAAGUGAUUCUCCCACCUCAGCCUCCCAAGUAGCUGGGACUACAGGUGCAGCCUCCCGAGUAGCUGGAACUACAGCCAAACCACCAUGUCUGGCUAAUUUUUGUAUUUUUUGUGGAGAAGGGUUUUGCCAUGUUGCCCGGGCUGGUCUCUAACUCCUGGGCUCAAGCGAUCCUCCUGCCUCAGGCCCCCAAAUUGCUGAGAUUACAGGCAUGAGCCAUUGCGCCUGGACCCUAUUAAUAAAUAAAACAUCACCUUCUCCCCAGCACCUACACAUGGCACAUACUGGGUAUUCAGUAAACAUCUGUUGAAUGAGUGAAUGAAAGACUGUUGAAGGCAGUGUGGCAGAGUGGAAAGAACACUGAAUUUUUCCGCAAAAGGCCGGAUUCUAGAUGGGGUUCAAUCCUUUAAAUGUUCUAAGACUAUUUCUUUGUCUUUAAAGUAUAGUACCUGUCCUACUUAGUUCUGUACCUGUAAAUAUAAAAUGGAAGUUGGUAUAUAAAAGUGUCAUAAUAAUCAUAAAAUGCCACUGCAAAUGUAAGUUAAUGUACUAUUCAUGGACUCAAAAGGAAAUCACAUAUAGUCAAUCAGCAAAAUGUUUUUCAGUGCUGAAUUAUUGACACUGUACUGCAUUCAUCACUAUUAUCAACCUUUUAAAGGUAAGAUUUAAUUUUUUUAAUUUUUAAAAUUAUUAUUAUUAUUUUAUUUGUAGAGAUGGGUUGCCCAGGCUGGCCUCAAGUGAUCCUCCCGCCUUGGUCUCCCAAAGCACAGAGAUUACAGGUGUGAACCACCGUUCCCAGACAAAUAUCAGAUUUUAUGAGUAAGGAUGAAAAGUAAAUAAUUCUAGGUGAAAUAUUUUUAUACUGCAAAAAGCUUCCUAUGUCCACGUAAAAACCAUCUUAUUUACUUAACAAGAGAUCUCUGAGACACACAGUCUUUAUGAAAAGCUAAUUUUAAAGGAUAUAGUAGAUGCAUAUGCUGUCAACAUAAUGUCUCAUAUAAUAAGAGUUCAACUAACAUUUACCAGACAAAUUUUUGAGAUGGAGUCUUGCUCUUGUUGCCCAGGCUGGAGGCUACAAUGGCAUGAUCUCGGCUCACUGCAACCUCUGCCUCCUGGGUUCAAGCGAUUCUCCUGCAUCUGCCUCCUGAGUAGCUGGGAUUAUAGGUGCCUGCCACCAAGCCCGGCUAAUUUUUGUAUGUUUUAGUAGAGACGGGGUUUCACUGUGUUGGCCAGGCUGGUCUUGAAGUCCUGACCUCGUGAUCCGCCCCCCCUCGGCCUCCCAAAGUGUUGGGAUUACAAGCGUGAGCCACCAUGCCCGGCCAAAUUUUGCUUUUCUUAUAACAUCCAUAUCUAAUUGUAAUUCAUGGUCAAGAUACUUUAAUACUUAAGUCAUCUGUUGAGUGAAGGGUACUAACAGUAAUUAAACAGCCUGUCAUUUAGGGGUUUAGCAUGCACCUAAAAGUAUUUUAGAAGUGUGUCACCGAAAUGAAAGACAUUUAGGUGGCACUAGCUUCCUGAAGACUGAAAGAGUAACCCUACCCACGGGAACUGCCUUGCCUUGGGUAGAUGGUAGGUGGCAGCAACAGACCAGAAAUUAUGGUUAACUAGAGCGCUAGACAUGUUCUUUUUAAUGUUAUUCUAUCAUUUUUUUCCAAAAUAAAAUAAUAUAGCUGCAAACCAAGUAGAUAGUAAAAAUAAAUAAGCAUGAUGUGACUAAUUUGCAUAAUACAGGCUACCUAAGCCUUUAUUUAUUCUAUAAUCUUUCAACAGCAAUUUAUUUUUCAACAGCUCUAAGCUUGGUUUUGUUACUAUUCUUAGCUUGUUUUUUUUUGUUACAAUCUUUAUUUCUUCUCUUUGUAAGUGUUGAAAAUUUUAAUGCUCCUCUAUUGACAGAAAGGGAUGGCAUAUUUGAACUUUCAUUCUGCCUAACCUUUGUUCUAUUCCUGUUGUGAAGAUUUUGCCCCAGACAUUGCACUGGUCAAGGUUUAGUUACUGAAAAAAUAAUCCAUUCCAGACAGUUUAAACAGAAAUUGUUUAACACUGGGCAUUAAAUGGCUUAUGAAGUUGUUGGCAGGGCUAAUGAAAGAGGCUCUUGGUCACUCACUCUCAAUCUGAGCUUCGUAUCACAAGCAUCUGGGUUGCUUUUUUAGAAUAUCAAUUCGGGAAUCCAUUGCUGACAUAAUGAAUCAAAACCUUUGGGCAUAAACUCCCCUGGAAAUUCAAAUGUUGAGAUCAGAUAGAGAUCCACUUUGAGGCUGAAGUUUUAGGAUGGACUUUUACUGCAGAACUGGGCCAUCAAGGGAUCUACUGAUCCUGCAAUAGGAAACCAUUUGCUGAAUUGGGAAGUUGUUGCUAUAGCUGCUGGAUUCAAAACAAUGCAUCCCCUGCCAUCAUCAGAAGCUGCCAUGCUCUGGAAACUGCCACAUCCAAAAAGCUGCCACUCCGGGACCCGCCAAGCUUGCUAUGAUAUUAAUUAGUAAAACAGAUGUCCUGUGCCCUGCCUCUUGGUGCCCCACAAGCCAGUGAACAGUCAGUUAACAAUGGCACAGAAUAACUAAACUCCUCCGCGACUGUGCUUAUCACAGAACCAGCAGCAGAUGGCCCCUGCCUCACUCAUACCCUCCCUCCACAUCUACAAUUUUAAUUCUGCUGGUGGAAACUCUAUCACAUGAGGAAUCUUAAUUGCAAGAAUGUCCAGGGUUUGUAGCUUUAAACUUCCCAGCCCUACAGAAACAGAAAGUCCAGCUAGAAAGAGAUUGCAAUGGAUGUGUGUACCAAUCCACUGUUUCACCAAGGACAUCAUGAAGUAGAUGAGUUAUUUUAAAGACACGAAGGCCCUUGUUGUCACACUAGCCCAGACCUGCGGGUAAAUCUGAGUCAAGCCCUUUCGGGAGUUUAAGUGUGUGUGAACUAAGAAGAAAUCAGGACGAAUCUCUUCCCCGGAUAGGCUCCUUGCUUCCAUAGGAAAAGCAAACCUGAUACCAGCUGAAGUCCACGCCUGGGGGAUAUUAGGAAGGGAGGGGUCUGUGUUGCCUACUUUUUGUCUGAGCUGGUGGCUGGCCCUUUUUCCCCCGAGUUGGUGGCUGGCCCUUUUUCGCCUUCCCUGUCUUGUUGUGAUAGCUCAUAGUCUGGGCACACUCUGUUCAAAAUCUGACUUUGCCAUUUUUUGCCUCCUUGGUGUGUCCAAGCAGUGGCAUCUGUGAUUAGUUGCCUCCUGAUGUAAUAUUAACUUUACCUUUUUCUCACUCAAUACCUUCAGAUGCCUACUUCCUGUUUUCUAAAGGACUCAAUGCUAAUUAUAAUGAUAUUUUCCUUUACUUUUCCUUACUUCUAGAUAUAUUCUUUUGCAUUUUAUAUUAUUUCUUCCUCUGGAAAUGAACUAUUUCUGUAAUACAUUCUUUUCAUUAAUAAAGGUUUUAGUAUAUUUGAUUAUCUACUUGUUCUUCUUUAUGCCAGUUCAGAUAUGCUUUAGUGCUUUGAAAGUUAACUGUUUGGUCCUAUCUAUGCCUGAGCAUGACUUCAGGGUUGCCUCGAAAUUUAAAUUAUAUGCCCACAAUUCACAAUUGCAAAAAUAUGGAACCAGC
rnacentral:lncRNA from 1 species